rnacentral:ncRNA from 1 species
CAGUAACUAUAGACACAGUUGUAGUUAGUAGGUUUUAACUCCUACCGUCUAAGGAAGACGAAAAGUUGACCAUAUGCUGGAAACACUCAAGUAUCUGACAGUACCGAAAGGUAAAAAUCUGUUCAGUGGAGUCAAUCAGCAGGAAAGAUUCUAAAUUUAUUUAGAAUAUCCUCAGAGACUAUACGUCAACUGCUAAAUUUGUGCUAACAAUUUAGUAAUGAUAUAGUCCGAUCUCAUAAGCGAUUAUGAG